rnacentral:rRNA from 1 species
CCGUUGCCGGCGACCGGCGCACGGGUGAGUAACACGUAUGCAACCUGCCCGUGGCAGGGGGAUAAGCGGGGGAAACCCCGUCUAAUACCGCGUAACGCGGCCUUGGGGCAUCCCAAGGCCGCCAAAGGGAGCAAUCCCGGCCACGGAUGGGCAUGCGGCGCAUUAGCUAGUCGGCGGGGUAACGGCCCACCGAGGCGACGAUGCGUAGGGGUUCUGAGAGGAAGGUCCCCCACAUUGGAACUGAGACACGGUCCAAACUCCUACGGAAGGCAGCAG